CUCACUUGUUGAUCACAACAAACGCAUAGCAUCCCAAAAAGGGGUUUAGUGUAUGAACAGUUUUUAAUUUAUUAAAUUGAUUAAAAAAACACUAGGGCAUAUGCAAAGGGAGUGAUGGGCUAUCCAUGAUGCAAGGGAUUGGUAGUAUUGUUUGUACAUGGCAAUCAGAAAGCAAAGAAGAAUAUGAAUCACUUCCAUUCAUUUUUGUUUUUUAUUUUUUAUAAUAUUUCAUAAUAAUUAUAAAAAAUAUAUAUAUAUUUAUUACUCUGAUCCAAGCCUUUCUUUUUUAGCUUUAUAUAAAGCCAUUCCUCCACUCUCGUUUCCCAUGACUAGUUUAGUUGAGGUGGCAGUGGAAACAUAAGCUCACCUCCAGUCUAUAUACCCUCUAUAAAUCCCUCCACCGUCAUUAAGAUCUCUCCCUCUUUUUUCUCUGAGAUUCACUGGCUGCUGUAGAUUUUAGCCAAGUUUAUCGUAUGGGUUUCAGGAAAUAUUCACUUUGCACGUCGAAAUUGCGUAGAUCUGUAUCUAUAUUUCCAGUUUAGAUAUUAUAAAUCUUUUUUUAUUUUUUUGGUAUUUUUUCAGAGAUUUUAUCAAUAAAUAUUUUCGAGAAAGAGAGCUUUCUUCAGUCCACUCAUGGGUGGCAGUAGGAUUCAAUUAGCUGCCGACUCAUUCAUCCAAAUACUGGGUUAUUAAUAAACGGAAAAACCCAGUAAAUGAGUGAAUGAUGCGGGAGACAAAUUGAAUCUUAAACUUCCUGUACUUGGACUGAAGGGAGCUCCCUUUACUUGUAAUCUUUUUCGUAAGCUACCCUUUCCUUUUUUUUUAUCUUUUUUUUUUCCUUACCUUCCUAAUGUUAAAUUAUCAAUUUGAUCAUUAUAUUGUUUAUAUUUGUUCUAAGCUGUUGCAUACCCAUGUUUAUAUUAUAUUAUAUUGUAUUAUAUUAUGUAUAUUUUAAGUUGAGGAUGAAUUAUUUGAACUUAUCCAACUUGGUUUUUCUUAGUAUAUAUCUAGAUCAGCUUAACUUUUUCUUAUGAUUAUCUUGUCUGGUAACCUAGAAAGGAAGCUAUAUGCAUCAUCAUAUCUACAGACUACAAUUAUAUAUGCAAAUAAUUAAUUAAUAUCCUUUGCUGUAGAUUUUCGUAUUGCUUUUUGGGAAUUUUCUGUGGAUAAAGAUUGUAGCUUAACUGUUCAUGUUUGCAGAUUCAACCAAAAAAAUAAAAAACCAUUCAUGUUUGCAGAUUCAACAAAAAAAUAAAACCAUUCAUGUUUGCAGAUUCAACAAAAAAGCUACUGUAGAUUAAACAUAUGGGGUUAAACUAGGGUUUUCUUUUCAAUGCAUGUGAGGAAGAAGUUGGAGAUAAGAGUUUCACACGCUCUACAACAAUUUCUUGGGUCUUGUUUUUCAUCUGCAACAAGUUCCUAGAGAUGUCAUGCGCAAUUACCAAAAUAUCCUCCCAAAUGGUUCAAGCUGGAUUCUUAUUAUUAUUUGUAAAUAGGUUCAAACUAAAUAGAUAUGUAUACAUCUAGCUAGCUAUUAUUACUGCAAGAAAAAUAGUUGCUAAAAGAGAAAGAGGGCUUAGUUACAAUAAUGUUCGUUAUUAUUUUUUUAUUUUUGUGGGUGUGCUCUCAUAAUCAAAGCUUGGUUGAAUUCUAAUCCUUUGCUUUUGCACUAUUCAAUUGUCUUUCGUUUUAACAUGUGUAUAACAUGUUUCUAUGUUCUAUGUUCCCAUGUAUUACCAAGAAUGAUUUUUUUUUU